rnacentral:tRNA from 1 species
AGUUAAUAAGCUUUACAAGCAUAUAUUUUGAAAAUAUAAGAAAAAGGUUUAAUUCCUUUAUUAACUU